AUUGAACGCUGGCGGAAUGCUUUACACAUGCAAGUCGAACGGCAGCACGGGGGCAACCCUGGUGGCGAGUGGCGAACGGGUGAGUAAUACAUCGGAACGUGCCCGGUCGUGGGGGAUAACGUAGCGAAAGUUACGCUAAUACCGCAUACGAUCUGAGGAUGAAAGCGGGGGACCUUCGGGCCUCGCGCGUUCGGAGCGGCCGAUGUCAGAUUAGGUAGUUGGUGGGGUAAAGGCCUACCAAGCCGACGAUCUGUAGCUGGUCUGAGAGGACGACCAGCCACACUGGGACUGAGACACGGCCCAGACUCCUACGGGAGGCAGCAGUGGGGAAUUUUGGACAAUGGGCGCAAGCCUGAUCCAGCCAUUCCGCGUGCAGGACGAAGGCCUUCGGGUUGUAAACUGCUUUUGUAUGGAACGAAAAGGCUCUGGCUAAUACCUGGGGCUCAUGACGGUACCGUAAGAAUAAGCACCGGCUAACUACGUG
rnacentral:rRNA from 1 species